GAAAGUCUGACGGAGCAACGCCGCGUGAGUGAUGACGGCCUUCGGGUUGUAAAGCUCUGUUAAUCGGGACGAAAGGCCUUCUUGCGAAUAGUGAGAAGGAUUGACGGUACCGGAAUAGAAAGCCACGGCUAACUACGUGCCAGCAGCCGCGGUAAUACGUAGGUGGCAAGCGUUGUCCGGAAUUAUUGGGCGUAAAGCGCGCGCAGGCGGAUAGGUCAGUCUGUCUUAAAAGUUCGGGGCUUAACCCCGUGAUGGGAUGGAAACUGCCAAUCUAGAGUAUCGGAGAGGAAAGUGGAAUUCCUAGUGUAGCGGUGAAAUGCGUAGAUAUUAGGAAGAACACCAGUGGCGAAGGCGACUUUCUGGACGAAAACUGACGCUGAGGCGCGAAAGCCAGGGGAGCGAACGGGAUUAGAUACCCCCGGUAGUCCUGGCCGUAAACGAUGGGUACUAGGUGUAGGAGGUAUCGACCCCUUCUGUGCCGGAGUUAACGCCAAUAAGUACCCCGCCUGGGGAGUACGACCGCAAGGUUGAAACUCAAAGGAAUUGACGGGGG
rnacentral:rRNA from 1 species